GACGUAGGAGGCGAGCGUUGUCCGGAUUCAUUGGGCGUAAAGAGCUCGUAGGCGGUUUGUCGCGUCGUCCGUGAAAACUUGGGGCUCAACCCCAAGCUUGCGGGCGAUACGGGCAGACUUGAGUACUGCAGGGGAGACUGGAAUUCCUGGUGUAGCGGUGAAAUGCGCAGAUAUCAGGAGGAACACCGAUAGCGAAGGCAGCUCGCUGGGACGGUACUGACGCUGAGGCGCGAAAGCGUGGGGAGCGAACAGG
rnacentral:rRNA from 1 species